AUUGAACGCUGGCGGCAUGCUUUACACAUGCAAGUCGAACGGCAGCACGGGUGCUUGCACCUGGUGGCGAGUGGCGAACGGGUGAGUAAUGCAUCGGAACGUGCCCAUGAGUGGGGGAUAGCCCGGCGAAAGCCGGAUUAAUACCGCAUACGCCCUUAGGGGGAAAGCGGGGGAUCUUCGGACCUCGCGCUAUUGGAGCGGCCGAUGUCGGAUUAGCUAGUAGGUGAGGUAAAGGCUCACCUAGGCGACGAUCCGUAGCUGGUCUGAGAGGAUGAUCAGCCACACUGGGACUGAGACACGGCCCAGACUCCUACGGGAGGCAGCAGUGGGGAAUUUUGGACAAUGGGCGCAAGCCUGAUCCAGCCAUGCCGCGUGAGUGAAGAAGGCCUC
rnacentral:rRNA from 1 species